UUCUUUGAUCAUUUGAGGAAGUUUUUUUUUAAAGCACCAAUAUGUGUCUUCAAUUUUUAGGAAACCAGAAUUCGGGCAAUGGAAAAAGAUGCCAAGAAAGGAAUCCAUAAUUUCUCUGUCAUUAACCCUCUUGCUGGACAAGCUACAACUCAUAUUUUUGCAGUUGACAGUAGAGCAGAUCUUCAGCAGUGGAUGGAAGCUUUCUGGCAACAUUUCUUUGAUCUUAGCCAAUGGAAGCAUUGUUGUGAAGAACUUAUGAAAAUUGAGAUUAUGUCACCACGGAAACCACCUUUGUUUUUGACAAAAGAGGCAACCUCAGUCUACCAUGAUAUGAGCAUUGAUUCACCUGUGCAACUUGAAAGUUUAACUGACAUAAUACAAAAAAAAAUUGAAGAAACAAAUGGACAUUUCAUUACUGGUCAGGAUGAAGAGGUCUCACCACCUCCUUGGGCCACAAUAUUUGAUGGUAAUCAUAAAAUGGAUAUCCAGAAAAAGGUAUUGUCCCCUGCAGGUGAGCAGUUACAUGAUGGGAAAAGGAAAAAGAGACGAGCUCCCCUUCCUCCUGCUGAUAAACCUCCAUACAGCUUAAAAACACAGAGCAACAGAGAUCAGUUGGUUAAGGACAACUGGGGAAAUACAAGUACAUCACAAUCCUUGCCUUUGGAUACCAAACUAUCAACCCUGAUGCAUCACUUACAGAAACCAGUUGCUGCUCCUCGAAAACUUCUUCCUGCCAGGAAAAAUAGUUUAUCUGAUGGUGACCACACAGACACUAAAACCAAUUCUGAAACUAAGCCAGUGCCAGCUCCAAGGCAGAAAUCCAUCAAAGACAUUUUGGAUCCUAGAUCAUGGUUACAGGCACAAAUAUAGAAAACUCUUAUUGUAUAAAACAUUGAACAGAAUGUAACUGUGAGGCUUAAUUGAGAGGCAUUGUUAAUGCAGUAAUGUUAUAUACUUUUAUAGGUAAAUAUGGUAGUGAUUUACAUAAAUAAUAAGCUAUCAGGUAUAUAACAUUUUUAUAAUGCAGAAAUAGAUUUUUCUUUUAUUUCUGAUUUUCAGAAUGUAAGUAAUUUUCCUCAUAGAGUAUAAGAGGCAGUUUCUAGACAAUAUCCUAAUUGUUGGAAGGGUUAAUUUAUUCCUAAAUUAGUACCAAGCAGUGAAUAAGCACUAGGCAGAAGAAAGCAUUAACAUUUCUUUAGGGGAGAGAUUGUCUAGUAAUUUAAAAUGUGUUAAAUAUGAGCCAUAUUCUCAUUGUGAGAAUUUAAAUACUAAUGGAAUGUUUCAAAGGUUUUAUUCAAACCACAAAUUAUAAAAUCCACCCAAGAAAAUUUUCUUCUUAACAUUCUGGAAUUCUCAUGUAAUGGUUCACUGCCUCUCAUCUAUUGUUUAACUCACUAGUUUAUAGGCUUGACCUUUUAAAUUCCUGGGAUAAAUUUUGGAAUAUUAAAUUCUUUGUCUUUAAAGGGAAUUUGUAAUGUGCUAUUCAAAGUCAUUUCCUUGAUGAGCACUGAAAUCCUGUUGACAUUAACUCUCAUAAGUGAAGCAUAACAUUUAUUAGUUCAGAGAAACAGUAGAUAAAAUGUUCUUUACAUCUACUUUUUUGUGUGUGGUACUAAUUUCCAUUAUGACUUUGGAAUUUCAGGAAGUGAAUAGCUGAUUAACACCUUAAAAUUUAAUACUUAUUUGCAAAACAGAUGGCAGAUUUAAAAAAUCAUAAAAGUUGGCCAUGGUAAUAAUUUCAGAAUUAAUCCUUUUAAAUUUUUUAAUUAGUUUCCUUUUUCUAGUAAAGGUUGAUGUGUGUUGAUAUUAUUCAUUAAAUUCAUAUUCUUACAACAAUAACGUUGGAAUCAUUUCCAUAGGAGGUAAGUUCCAUAGCAACUAAUCAUAGUGACCCAAACAGGAUUAUGAAAUCAAGCGAGGAACAAAUAACAAGAAGAUGAAUAUUUUAAAGGAAUAGAAAAUUCAUUUUUUAUAGUAACACUUCUAAUAAACAAGAUGAGUAUAGUUUUUAAAAAUCUAAUCAGAAUUUCCAAAUAAAAGUUUCCAUAAGGUGUCAGCAGCAGCACUAAAAAUAUCAAAUCACACUCAACACUAAAUGUCAUUGCAAGUAAAAAUAUAAAAAAUUACUGUCUGUGUAUAAUCUCUGGAGAUCUUUUUAAAGCUAGGAAGAUCUCUGUUUGAAUCAGAGCUGCAUUAUUGCAAAAUAAAAUGAACACUUGACCAAAAAAAGCAUUAAUUUAAAUGAAGUCUUCGUUAUUUUUAGAUAGCACUGUCUUUUUUUCAUUUAUAGAGCAUGAUGUAAUUGUCAGAUUACUUUGAACCUGACAAAAGAUCUCUUGCGACUAAUGACACCAGGGCAGACACAGCAUUUGGUGAGAAGAAAAUGACCUAAAAAGCUGAUUAUUUUUUCUACUGGGAGGGUCUUGCACAUUUCUGUUAUGAUUGCCAUUUCAUUAAAUGGUGUAUUCAAAACCUAAAGGAUAUUAUUAUUUGAAUUUUUAUUUUUUUAAAACUCACUGCUGUUAUUGACAGCAUUUACAAUUUGUCGUUGCCAAUAAAUUUUUCAGCUAGAAGAUGCUGUAGGCAAAAUUGUUUCUGAUACUGGCAUCUAAGCAUUUCUUUUUUUCCCCCCUAAUUGAUGCUUUCCUUUAGUACAAGCCUGUAUUAAAACUUCAAAUCAUAUUCUUGUCAUUUCUCCUUAUGUAAAUUAUACAGAAAGAAUUUAAGUUGUACAGGAAAGACAGUUUAUUCAUAGAGAAUUUAUCUAGCAGUCAUGUUCUCAGAAGGGAACUUUGAACUAGGUCUGAAGUCCUUCCUAGAACCAUUUAGGUGAAGCCCACCUGUGCUCCCCCCCUCCCCUGCUCAACCCUACCUCCCACAUUAUUUUUUCUAUUUCUGGGAACAUAUCUUCCCGUAUAUAUGGUAGAGUCUUUAAAAAUCAGCCUGUAAUCUUCAACUACAUCUUUUGAUUAUUGUUCCCAUUAAAUGCUUCCCGUAUAUAUGGUAGAGUCUUUAAAAAUCAGCCUGUAAUCUUCAACUACAUCUUUUGAUUAUUGUUCCCAUUAAAUGAUACUUUACCUGCCCCCUAAAAAGAGAAGUUAUAAUACAAAGUUGGAUUUUGUUUCUUCCUUCUCUCACUUCCUUUCCUGUCUCUCUCCCACUUCCAUUUUUCUUCUUUUACAAUUAAAAAAAAAAAAUUAAAAAUACUGAGUUGAACACUGCCAAGGUGUUCAUCAGAAAUAUUUGUUUUCUUAAUUCCUGAAACAAGUUUAUGACAGAGAAAUAUGCCAUGUAACAUGAAAGGUGUCAGCUUUUUUAAGAGCUGGAUUUUUACAUUCCUUAUCUUUUUAAUUUGUCUCUGUAUGUAUGAAGACUAUAAACUUGAAACAGUUUUCUUUCAUAUCUUUAUAUUCUAUUUGGAGAGGCAUAAUAGGAAAAAUAGGUAUUUUAUGAUAUAAUUUUGAUAAUUUGAAGACAAUAUCUUAGACAAUUGCAUUUAUAUUUCAAAUUCUAGAAUAUAAAUUUCUUACAAUAGCAUUUAAGGUAGUGUUUUUAAUUGCUACAAAAUAGUUUUUUUUAACAUCUUGCAAAGACAAAAAAUGUUUUUCAUUAUAAAUGCACACUUCCUAAGGUAAAUAUCAAGCAUGACAGGUCCUGCUGAGUUUUGUUAAAUUUCCUUUAACUGUCUGCAUUGCCCCCUAACUUCUUUUAAAUGGAUAUGAAUGUAUCUGGAAAACUAAAUCCAUUUAUUAUAAAGGCCUUAUCUUUACCCUUUAGAAUACUAUUACAUGUAUUUUACCUGGUACUAUUUGUUAAAAGUGGAAGCUUCCUUGAUUUAGAGACAACUCAUGUAAGGUAGGUUAACUAGUCAAGUGUUUCUAUAGGCUUAUGGGAAGCACCUCAGACACCUACUAUGAAGUUAAUUCAGUCCAAAAUGAAAUAGGGCUGUUUGGUGCAAUUAUGUUAAAUGCUAUUCAAAUGUAAUCAUCUGUGUUACCAUAAAUGAGAAAAAAAAAACAUAUUAAAGUGAGGAUGCUGUAGCAGGAACAAGAAG
ensembl:lincRNA